rnacentral:lncRNA from 1 species
CAACCUCAGUUUGAGAGUGCACCUGUUUUGGCUACAGUGGACCAAGAAGGAGAAAUCCUGCGUCCCAAAGUCCCCUGGAUUUCACUACUCUUUCAAAAACCUAUUUUAAUAAAAAUGGGCUCUACUGAAAGGACCAGCAAGAAUGCACAUGACAAUAGAGAGUAAAUGCCGCCUAAAAUGACAAGGACUGGGAGAGAAAGGCCAUGCCGCUGCGUGUAUUUUCUGCGAAUUGGACCUAGUGAAAGAGAGAAAGGUAUUUCCCUUCUAGCUACAUGCUGGCAAACUUGCCAAGGUAUGCUCUGGAGCUGA